UACGUAGGGUGCGAGCGUUAAUCGGAAUUACUGGGCGUAAAGCGUGCGCAGGCGGUUUUGUAAGCCAGAUGUGAAAUCCCCGGGCUUAACCUGGGAAUGGCAUUUGGGACUGCAAGGCUGGAGUGUGGCAGAGGGGGAUGGAAUUCCGCGUGUAGCAGUGAAAUGCGUAGAUAUGCGGAGGAACACCGAUGGCGAAGGCAAUCCCCUGGGCCUGUACUGACGCUCAUGCACGAAAGCGUGGGGAGCGAUCCGG
rnacentral:rRNA from 1 species